UUAAAGGGCCAGAAACCAUAGUUAAGACUUUUAAGCUACUUCUUAGGCAGCUGGAAGCAAUAGCGGAGGAAGAAGAAGGGCCAAUAGCGCCUGGCCUUUCAUGUCACAGCAAGGAAGAAGCCUAAUGAGACUCUUGCAAAGGGAGACUGAAGAAUCAAUGCCUGAACUUACGUCUCCCUCCUCCAAAUCUUGGCCAGUGCCUCUCUAAGGUUGGAGCACUAGGGAUCUGCCUCCCAGGCUCACUCUAGGGAAAUCCAACUGCCAUGUUGUGAAUACAUUCAAGCAGGAUUAUGGAGAAGUCCCCAUGAUGAGGACCUGAAGCCUCCUGCAGACAACAAGCAAAGAAUUGAUACUUUCUGUCAGUAGUCAUGUGAAUGAACCUUGGAGGCAAGUCAACCAGCCCCAGUCAAGCAUUUGGAUGACUGCAACCCUGGUUAAUGUCUUGACUACAACCUCAUGAAAGAUUCUUAGUCAGAAUCACCCCUUGAUCUGUUCCCAAAUUCCAGCUCACAAGAAGAGAUCGUUUCAUAAUGUUUACUGAGAUAUUUGGAUUCUUUCCGACUUGAGGUUAUUAUGAAGAAAGCUAAUCGGAAUAUUCUGGUACCAGUCCCUGUUGAGGACCUAUGCAUCCAACACUCUUGGGAAAAUUAAAAAUUGGCAACCAGCAAAAUGUCCAGAAAUGAGAAAUGGUUAAAUAAAAGGCACUCU